GAAGGCCUGUGGGCUGUAAACCUCUUUUCUCAAGGAAGAAGAUCUGACGGUACUUGAGGAAUAAGCCACGGCUAAUUCCGUGCCAGCAGCCGCGGUAAUACGGGAGAGGCAAGCGUUAUCCGGAAUUAUUGGGCGUAAAGCGUCCGCAGGCGGCCGUUUAAGUCUGUUGUUAAAUCGUGGAGCUCAACUCCAUCACGGCAAUGGAAACUGUUCGGCUUGAGUAUGGUAGGGGCAGAGGGAACUUCCGGUGUAGCGGUGAAAUGCGUAGAUAUCGGGAAGAACACCAGUGGCGAAAGCGCUCUGCUGGGCCAUUACUGACGCUCAUGGACGAAAGCCAGGGGAGCGAAAGGGAUUAGAUACCCCUGUAGUCCUGGCCAUAAACGAUGAACACUAGAUGUUGGGGGAAUCGACCCCCUCGGUGUCGUANCUAACGCGUUAAGUGUUCCGCCUGGGGAGUACGCACGCAAGUGUGAAACUCAAAGGAAUUGACGGGGCCCGCACAA
rnacentral:rRNA from 1 species